CCAAGUACCGGACCAACUUCUCCCCUUCACUUGCUUACGCCUUGCGGCACAAAUCAGGAAUCAAGUAAAUUCUGGGAAAAUUUGAAACUUGCUGAAGAAAGGCAAACGGAAGGAAGGGACUCACUUUGGCGGUCAGCAAUUUCAGUCAUUGCUGGCAGCAAUUUUGGCGGUCAACAAUUUCGGCUUUGUUUCCUCUCAUUCUUGGCUUUCUUUCAACAAUUUUGGUGAGUUCAUUCUUUUCUUGGCUUUCUUUACCAGGUGUCCAAGCAAUUUUGGCGGUGAAUUGAGCUGAAUCCAGAGCGCACCGCUUCAGAGUUUUGCGAGCUGCUACUUUUCCUUAUUGUUUUCUCGGCCUUGUUUCCUCUGUUUCUUUUCUUGGCAUUCUUUACCAGGCGUGUUUUUCCCGUUCCUCAUUCUCCCGUCUUUUUCCUUUAUUCUUUUCUUAGCUUUCUCUGGCCAGUGCUUUUUCCUUCCCUUGUUUUCCUAUUGAAUUUUCUGAGGACGGUGAUGAUUCAUGAUAGAUAGUGUUGCUGUAGUUAUGCCUUCUGUUACUGCUACUUCUUUGCUUUAAUGCAGCUGCUACUUGGGUUAGGUAUAGCUACGGUGGAUAUUACUCAGUGUAACCUUGCGAUAUGUUUAUUUGUUCUUCUCUGGCUGGAAUUGGGGAACAAUUGCUCUUUUUCUUAUUAAUGGAAUGCGUCGUUAUGGCUGUAAUAGUUAUUAUUCAAUUAAAUGUUAAGUUGCGUUUUUCGUUCCUUUUCUCUGUACUGUAGAUUAAUGCAUUGAGAAUGGGUCGGAUUAGAGUAUACGGAAGUUUGGAAGAGGCAAUUAAACCAGAAUUAACUGUAAAACAUGUCUUUGCAUAAUUAAUGCUUUUACAAAUAUCUUGAAAUAAUUCUUACUCCAUAAAAACUUUUCCUAUCAGAAAUUAGCAGUGAGAAUCCGGGUUCUGAUAUGAGUUCAGUGUUGCAUGGAUUGGACAAUAUGAGUUUGGGGUACGGGGCUAACGAAGACGAGAAACAGGGGAAUCUGUAAACCAUUUGGCCUGACUCCUCAAUGUGUUAAUUCGUUUUUUUAAUGAAGCUGUUUAGACUUCACUAAGAGACAUGAAAACUUACUGAGGGUUGUUUUGAUCGGUUAAGUGAAUUGUUAUCGCAAUACAAAGGUGAAUCUCUUUUCCAGAUUUAUUUUCUUUAGAAUUCAUCAAAUGCUAAUUUCCAUUUCAGAUUUAUUUUGUUUUUGCUUUCCCACUACUUUCUUUAUGAGACUGGGGAUUGCCAAGUUUGUCGUAUGAAUCAGGGAUAUAUUUUAUACUAAAGGCAAAACGAAGGGCUCUAGGAAAUGUCUGGUGUUUUGGCUGAGCAUCAUCCAGCACUAGCCAAUGCCCUGAUCGUAUGAUUGUUGGGUAACGUGUUCGAUGGUGUGAGUGCAGCAAAGGGUGUAUGUUCCAGGAAGGGUAAAGGAGAAGCAAACUGUUGAGCUGGAGGUCUACAAUCAGGGAAUGUUCAAAACCGAGUUGAGUAACAAAUGGCAAGAGACCGAGGAAUGUCCCUAUGGAGAGAACUGCCAAUUUGCUCACGGAAUUAAAGGAGCUGCGCCCUGUACUUCGCCACCCAAGGUACAAGACUGAGGUAUGCCGUAUGGCGUUGAACGGUGAUCACUGCCCUUAUGGACACCGAUGCCACUUCUGCCCCACCCUCACUGAUGAGAAUAAGCUUAUCAAGUCCAUGAACAUCAGGCCCCUAAAGCCACUCAAUCGUUAGGUCUAUGAUUAUAACUCCACUAAAUGAUGUUAGACAAGUGUAAAAGUCUUGGCUGGUAUGCAACGGUGUUUUUGUUUUUCAAAGUAAUCAAUAGGCAAUAAGGCUAAGGUCUACUGAUGUGAUAAUACUAACUGCUUGAUUAAAAAAAAAAACUGUAUGAUCCGUCGUCAAGGAGAUUAAAAGUAAAA